rnacentral:pre_miRNA from 1 species
CUUUGGUCGUCCAGCCUUAGGUGACUUUUCCGAUCAUAAAGCUAGACAACCAUUGAA